rnacentral:rRNA from 1 species
UGAGUAAUACAUCGGAACGUGUCUUCUAGUGGGGGAUAACUGCCCGAAAGGGCAGCUAAUACCGCAUGAGACCUGAGGGUGAAAGCGGGGGAUCGCAAGACCUCGCGCUGGAAGAGCGGCCGAUGUCCGAUUAGCUAGUUGGUGAGGUAAAGGCUCACCAAGGCGACGAUCGGUAGCCGGUCUGAGAGGACGACCAGCCACACUGGGACUGAGACACGGCCCAG